AAAAUCGGAAUAGCGCCCGGGCAGCUUUGCUGCUGACGAGGAGGACGGUCAUCGAUCAUCGGCGGAUACCGUCCCGGACACUGAAGUGUUCGUUACACCGGAUGUUAAAACCCGCAAGCGAUUGCGGGGACAGAGCACCGGUCGAUAAUUGU
rnacentral:ncRNA from 2 species